CACUGUUUAUGUAUAUGGACAAGAGAAAUACUUGUUGUUGCAUGAUAUCUCAGAAUCGGAAUUUCUAACUGAAGCUGAAAUCAUUUGUGAUGUUGUAUGCCUGGUAUAUGAUGUCAGCAAUCCCAAAUCCUUUGAAUACUGUGCCAGGAUUUUUAAGCAACACUUUAUGGACAGCAGAAUACCUUGCUUAAUCGUAGCUGCAAAGUCAGACCUGCAUGAAGUUAAACAAGAAUACAGUAUUUCACCUACUGAUUUCUGCAGGAAACACAAAAUGCCUCCACCACAAGCCUUCACUUGCAAUACUGCUGAUGCCCCCAGUAAGGAUAUCUUUGUUAAAUUGACAACAAUGGCCAUGUAUCCGCAUGAAAACAGCCCUGGAAGUCUGCCCUGGCGCCUGCACUGAGACUAAUCCAGGUCACUUUAGGGAAACUGCCCAGCUCUGGCACCGCACUGUGUGUCUGUCAGCUCUGUGGGGUGCUAUGGCCUCAUUUUCCCACUAGAGGACACUGUGGCUCCAGGACUUCAUGUGGCGCCCAGCCAGUCUUGCUACUCCAGCACCUCUAAGGAGGCAAAGCCUUUAGUGUGCAUUUAUUAGGUACCAACUGGGUGCUUUCUGUAUCAAGCAGAGAAAUAAAAGAGGUCAAACACAA
rnacentral:lncRNA from 1 species